rnacentral:rRNA from 1 species
UUAAACUGAAGAGUUUGAUCAUGGCUCAGAUUGAACGCUGGCGGCAGGCCUAACACAUGCAAGUCGAGCGGCAGCGCGGGGAGCUUGCUCCCUGGUGGCGAGCGGCGGAC